GCCUCCGUAGCUCAAUGGAUAGAGCGCCGGCCUUCUAAUCCGUAGGUUCCCGGUUCGAGUCCGGGCGGGGGCA
rnacentral:tRNA from 1 species